GCUCUUUUUAAUCUGUAUUGAAAUAUAACUGGUUAGUUGAUGUCUGCUUCAUCUGUUUCAGUCUGCUCUUUAUAAAAACGUUUUCGAGCCGAGUUAUUCAAUUGCUUGUUUAUACAGCAUAGGGUUUGUUCAUUGUUGAAGGCCAUGCAGAACCACAGAUUUACAACCAUUUUCGUAUUUUGGUUUCUGGUGAACAGUAGUCUCAAAGACAAUAUAAUAAAGUCGCCUUAUUUUCACAUGUAAAUACAAAGAGUGAAAUCAAAGUAAAAAAGCAUAAAGAACUAUAAUUCUAUAUACAACUGUAUUGCUUAUUUACAUCUGUC
rnacentral:lncRNA from 1 species